GUAAUUUGACCGUGCGAAGGUAGCAUAAUCAGUAGUUUCUUAAUAGGAGGCUGGAAUGAACGGUCGGACAGGGGGUUAGCUGUCUCUUGUAUAGCUUUUGAAGUUUACUUUUAAGUGAAAAGGCUUAAAUGAUCUUGGGGGACGAUAAGACCCUAUAAAACUUUACAGUUUCACUUUUGCUUUUGUGAAUUAAGGUUUAAAAUUAGACAUGAGUGGUCUGUUGUGUUGGGGCGACAAAGAUAAAAAAAGUAACUGUCAGGAAAAAAAAAUAAAAAUAAUUAUAGUAGUUGAUCCUUUUGGUU
rnacentral:rRNA from 1 species